UCGUAAAGUUAAGCAUUGUUACGAUGCAAGGCAGCAUUUUGAUAUGGUGGAUAGGAUGGUGAAGACGGCAAUGUGGUGCCUCCAAGACAGGCCAGAGGCGAGGCCGUCGAUGGGGAAGGUUGCUAAGAUGUUGGAAGGGACUGUGGAGAUCACUGAACCAAAGAAGCCUACCAUCUUCUACUUGGAAGACGAAUAAAUGACUUGUCUAAGCUACAAGUUUCUGAAUAGUUGAAUAUAUUGUGGCAAUUCUAAGGAUGAGUGAAAGGUUAGCAGGCUUUUCAGUGUUCGUUUUCUUUCCUUACUACUUCUACUUUUGACUGUUUUUGGGCUUGUUUAGUA
rnacentral:misc_RNA from 1 species